CUCUGCUCUGUUCGGGCUUUCCGCUGUCUCCCUCCGCCAGUACACAUAUAGAUCCCCGCGAAUCGGCGUUUUACACAGCUCAUUGUGUGUCUCUUGCAACAGCCACGAAACGGUGACAUUCUGCAGUCACACGGUUGUUCCUCGCAUCAGAGCAAAGACCAAUUAAAAUAGUCUUUUUUGGGGUUUUCUUCGCGUUGGUUGACAUUGGACACCGCUGAUGUUUCUACGUCCAUGUCCUCCUCCUGUAAGCAGUGCCGCGGAGUGAUAUUCUUGGACCCCGACAAUGUGGAGGCUGUUAAAAUGUCUACUUGGAAAAUGAAAUGGUUACAUUUUAUCUAACUAAAAGGAAACGGGGGGUAACACAAGAGUUAUGGUUUGUGUUGUGGAUGGGUAUUUAGUUUCGUGACAACGUCGAUAAGCGAAGACGAGGGCGACGGAGGAGUGUUUUCAUAAAAAGCCUCUUUGCUCAUUUUUCAUCAAGCCACCAGUCCGGACCACGGGGGGAAGGAUCCGAUCCCUAACUUUGUUUUUCUCCAUACUCCAGCCGUCGAUUUCUCCCGGUUGGAUGCCACACAAUUGACUUCAGCCGCUUGCUGACACUGAGAGCCACGAGUGAAGAGCAGCAGAGAAUGGCCACAGUGGAAACAGACAAGGAGCUCAACGACUUGCUGGAUUUUAGCGCGAUGUUUGAGCUUCCACUUUCAAACGGGAAGAACCGGCCGACUACUCUCGCCAGUCAGUUUGGAGGUUCAGGUAUGGAUGAGAGGAAUGGGUCCGGUCCCUGGGGGCCAGGACAACAGAACGGUCCGUCUUUCAACCAGGGAAGGGCUUAUGGAGAAGAUGGCCUCUACAGUGAGCAGGAGGGCAUUGCCUCUGCCCCUAUAUUUGGAUCAGGGAUUGUUGGGAAGACUGAGCGAGGACCAUACUCCUCAUUUCCAACACAGCCGGGCUUUAUGCCUAGUGAGAUACCCAUGACCAGUCCCAAUGCCCUCUCCCCAUCUGGCCUGAAGUCCAACUCCCAGUUUUAUUCUUCUUAUGAGGGCAACAACCCUCGACGAAGACCCUCACAGGACCCCAUAGAUUCACAGCCAAAAAAGAUCAGGAAGGUGCCCCCUGGCCUGCCCUCCUCGGUUUAUGCAUCAGCCUCAGGAGAGGAUUUCAACAGGGACAACACAGGCUACCCGGCCUCCAAGGCAGGAAAUGUCUACCCACCACCAUUCUACAUGCAAGACGGCCUCCACCCGCCCUCUGAUCCGUGGGGCUCUGCCCGGUCGAUGGUUCAGCCCGGUUAUUCUGCCAUGCUGGGCAACUCCCCCCAUCUGAGUCAGCAUGCCCCCUUCACUGCCAUUAACCCCCAAGACAGACUGAAACGACAGCCACUGCCCCUCUCUCCGCAAAACUACCCCCUGCAUGGCAGCGAGGUGAACGGGGCUCAUCCCGCCGGCUUCCACUCCGGCUCCAGCAGCUUCGGAGUCCCCAGCCACACACCCCCUAUUGCUGGCAGUGACACCAUCAUGGCCAAUCGAGGUUCAGUGCCGGGAAGUUCCGGAGAUGAGAUUGGGAAAGCCCUGGCAUCGAUCUAUCCUUCGGACAGUUCUGCCUUCCCUCCGUCUCCCUCAACUCCCUCUGGCUCCCCCCAGGCUGUAUCAGGCUCUGCAUCCCAAUGGAAUCGUACAUCAGGGCAGGGCACACCUUCACCCAACUUUGAAGAGGGAAUUCAGUCCAUGGUGCGUCAACAGCCAAGUAAAAUGGAGGACCGCUUGGAUGAAGCCAUCAACGUUCUUCAGCGCCACGCCGGCGGGCAUGGUGGACCAGGCCUGGCUGAAAUGCAUAGUCUGCUCUCGUCUGGCUUGGGGUUACCUGCAGCCUUCACUAACGCAGCCCUGGGACUGGCCGGUCGCCUCUCUGGACUGAUGGCCAGUCACAAUGAGGACUCAGUUGGUGGAGGUCUUAUGCAUGGGCACCAUGGCCCUUCAUCUGGCCAGGGCUCUCAGCCUGAAGGUUUCGCUGCUAUGUUGGGAAGCCUGAACCGCUCCAAUGCUUCCGAUGUGAAACGAGAAGACAAAGAUGAUGACGAAAACUGCUCUAUUACCGACAAGUCAGAGGACGAAAAGAGAGACAACCUCCGAACAAGUCUGGAUGAUGAGGAAGAUGAUGAUGAUGAUGCAGAUCUGCCAGUGGGGGUUAAGGUUCAGCGGGAGAAAGGGCGGAGGUUGGCAAACAACACCCGCGAGCGGCUUCGGGUGCGGGACAUCAAUGAGGCUUUUAAGGAGCUGGGCCGAAUGUGUCAGCUCCAUAUGAGUUAUGAGAAACCACAGACCAAAUUGAUCGUACUGCAACAGGCUGUUAACGUUAUACUCAACCUGGAGCAGCAAGUCAGAGGUCAGUGGGUGUCCAGGGAGGAAGGAAGAGGAGGGAAAGGCCUCUUUGAAAAAUAAAACUCGCACACGGCUUCAUUUUCCAGCUCCUGUCUUACUCUCCAUGUGAAACAUUUCCAAAGACCUUAUUAUAUUGCUAAACAUAUCACAAGUAUUAAUCAGGUAGAAUUUAAAUGUACAAUGCACCUAAAAUUGAUCUAAAGUAAGGACAUGAGAUGAGGAAAUGAAGCUGAGUGAGUGUUUUCAAUACACAUUCAUUCUCCAAUUCAUCCUCUGAGGUUUUUGUCCCCUGGUAACACAUACAGGACUGCUGUUUGUUCUGACGCGCUAUGUGUUGCCUUGUCUUAUAACUGGCUGUCUGAGAAUGCUUACAUGUCUCUCUGUCCCACCCUUAACACAUCUGUUUGUAUGCUCAUUCAACCUUUCUCACUGUUUCCCCCCCUAUGCUAUAGUCCUUUAAAUUCAGCACAAGUUAUUUCAGCAUUCUGAUGCCCUCUAGAGGUUGUUCACUGACAGCCUGGGCUAGCAUGAAAACAGCCUGUCUGCUGUCAUACGUUUGGACCUGUCUUCAGCUUUGUCCCGGUGUCUGCAUGUCCCUGCCGCUCAAGCAUUAACCCUUUCAUUUUUCAAUCCGUUUUCAAAACAAACCUUUCCACCCUAUUCCCCUCCUCCGAAGUCAUUUUCUUUUUACAGAUGGCAGCAGUGACCUUCUCUGCCUCGCAUUCAGAUAAAUACAUCUCCUUCCACUGAUGUAUUUAACACAAUGUUCUCAGUCUCUCCUCUUGGCUUUCUUCUCUGUGGCUCUUUCCGUAAUGGCAGAGGGUGCUUCCUUUCUCCCCCUCCUCAUUAUUUCUCUCAUUCUGCUGGAAAGUCAACACAUCUCCCUCAACUUCCAUCCUGGACUCCAGUGACCCAAACGGACAUUUUUAUUGGUUGUUUAGACCUCAGGGAACAUUUAGAACACCUCAUAUUCUGAUCUACAAUCCGUUUAUUCCGGGCGUGACAUGUUGUAGGCUGACAAUUUAACCUACAACAUUUUAAUAUGUAAUUGAUGAAAAUUUAAUUAUGUAUCUUGGAAAGAAAGUUCUUAAACUCCUCCCUGCCGCUCACUCUCCCGCAGCCCGCUCCACUGGGAUCUCCUCAGUUUUUCCCCGGGUCCUGUCUUGAGCUAAGAGAUUUAAGUUGGCUGUAUUUUGAGACACAAAGAAAGUAUGAAUUACUUCCCGGUAACAACAAAGGGAUUCUGAAGAGGGAAAAUACAAAGUUAAACAGUAUUAGCUGUAUGGACAGCAUCUAUCAUGGGUUCAGGGAGGGUUGUGAUCUGGGUUUGUUAACCAGCCCCUCCAACCCCCUCCCCCCUUCUCCUCCUGGCUGCAGCAUUGUCACGGUGACCGAUGAGAACCUGACUGCCGAGGAGAAGGAGCAAAGGGAGCGAGAGCGCCGCCACGCUAACAACGCUAGGGAGAGGGUGCGUGUGCGCGACAUAAACGGAGCCUUCAGAGAGCUGGGCAGGAUGGUUCAGGUCCACACGCAGAGCGACAAGGCCCAGACCAAGCUGCUCAUCCUGCAACAAGCCGUCCAGGUCAUACUGGGCCUGGAGAAGCAGGUGCGAGAACGCAAUUUGAACCCAAAGGCUGCCUGCCUCAAGAGGAGAGAGGAGGAGAAAGUUUCAGGUGUUGACCCUCAGAUGCAGCUUGGUGGGGGUCACCCUGGUCUUGGAGGAGACGGACAUAUGUAAUACUCAGUUCCUGGUGAUUGUACAGCCCCCAGAACACGUGGCCUUAAUCUUUCAUUGUCAUGCAUCUCAGUGUGUGUUAAUCAACUUUGGGAAAGCACACAUGCACACACCUCAUUACUGACAAGGCAGGUGGCCACAUUCCUGACGAUGACAUAUAAAUAACAAGCACACUCUUGUUGAAAGCAGAAAAGAUGAAUUAAUCUUUACAAAACUUUGAACUGAGGACAUCACUUUGGAGAACAUGGAAAUUGGACAUGAGGACACUCCUAUGAUCAUGUUUUUGUAAGACAUUUUGGAGAGUUGCUUUACAUGUUGGGAGCAAAACUUGUUUGGAUCAAAUAAAACUUUUGGAUCAAUUGCUCGCAUGAGCAGAGUUAGGAUUUGUAUUGUAGGAUAAUUAUUGGCAUUCCCAUCUGAAAAGAAGGUCUUACAUUCUUCACAAGCAAAGAAGGACAACUGGGUAUUUACCUUUAUGAUUGAACAAAAAGAAAAGUGUUUGGUUGAAAUCAGCCUUGUUAAUAAUCCUCUCAUUUGAUGACUGAAUUUAAAGGUCAGUUUGGAGACAUCCAGCCACCGACUGGCCAAUUAAAGAGCUGUCUUCUCAUUUUGAAAAGCCUGUAACUCUGGCUGUGUUUGUGAAAUUGAUUGCGGUGGCUAUAAAGGUGCCACAGCGACAGACUUACACAUUUUGCAGGCUGCUUUUUCUAUUUUUUAACGGUGGAUCCCUGAGUCUUAUCUCUAUGAGUCCUGUACAUCUGUUAUUGUUGUGGGCAUGUGAGUGGAAUAGAAAGGCUGGUGGAGAGAGACCAACCACCGAUGCACACACGAGCAAUGACUCUACCUUCCCUCAGUGAGGCAGCUGCUGAGCGGAUACAGACGGCAUCCUCACUGCUCAGCCGAGUGGUCAGUUUGAACCCUCUGAUAGAGCCAGUGUCACAUCAGCCUGCUCCUAUCCAAUCAAAUCAAAAGACACUGUUACAGCAUUGUGAACUCACUUUUCUUACCACAUUUUUGCUUGUGGUGCCUGUCGUUUGAUUUAAAAAAAAAAAAAAAAAAAGAGUAUUGAAAGGGAUCAUGAGUGUUACUGCGACCUUGUGGAGAAUUUACUCAAUCACCAUUGACUGACUUGUUGUGGUUGUUGCUCUGUGUCGAGCAGUGUUUGGUGUUAUAAUUUGUUUUUCUUUUUGAACAAUUGCAAAGCCUGUUAUAAGGAUCUUCCUUUUCUAGAAUUGAUUUAUCAUUGUUGUUUUUUUUAUCUUUACUUUGUAAGAUAGUCGUAUGAGUUUUGUUUUUAUCAUUUGGAAUGCUUUGUUGUUUUUUUUGUGUUUACAUUGUUUAAUUUUAACUUGAGUCUCAAUUUAGAUUCCAGGAACAAAGUGAGGUUUUUCAUUUGUGCCAGAAAUGUUAGCAAUGACAAAAAAAAAAAAGUGACCUGGCUGUAACAUCACAUGUUGUGAUAUUUCUCAUUUGUUGUUUCUAAAUGCCUGUUUCAACACAAAACUGCCAGGCCAGUUAUAAUUGGAUUAUUCCUGUUUGAGACAGUUUCUCCCAGAGUGAGACAAAACUUUUUACAACCCCCCCCCCCCCCCUCUUAUUCUCUGAUAGCUUACUGAUGAGCUUAUUGAUUAGUUUGAUGAAGAGGUAGAAGGGGCAGUGUGUACAGUCAACAGAAUUCACUGUUUUGUUAUGAUAUGAAUCAUAAGACGAAUCAAAAAGGGUGGCCUUAGUCAUUAUCCUGAAUUUGGGAGUUUUGAUAAUGGUUACUCACCAGUGCCUGAAUACUUCUCAUGAUGGAUAGUGUUGCAUUUAAGGACUUUUGGGUUGUACCGUUUUUGUAGUACAGAUGUAUAAAGCCACAUAUACUUCAGUAACAUCCUACAGUGUCUCGGAACAUCGAAAUGCAGGGUUACUUUCAUUGAUGCUGUUGUUGCAUUAUGAAAUGUAAGAUGACUUAUAACCUGACCUGAAGUUUUGACAGAGAGAACUGUACUUGAAAUGUCUCAUCUUUUAUUAACUGAUUUUGUUCAAUAUAUUUCCUUGGCUAGUAUGUGCAUCAAAAACGUGUAUUCAGCUGUAGGAUGUGUCUUCACCAGCUUUAUCAUUCUAAGUUGAUGUUGAUAUAUAUAUAACAGUAUUUGGUUUACCUCUGCUCAGCAUGUAGUCACAAAUGUUGCCCAGAUGGACUGGCCCCAACCAUUAUUUCGCUGUCAGUUACUAGUCAGGCUUGUAUUUUUAAUUUCUUUACAUAAAAGAAGUGUCUGUGGUAUCAAUGUACCAAAACAUACAUCUGAUGUUCUUUGUUAACAGACCCUUCCUCCUCUCCACAACAGAUGACCUGCUUCAGAACUUUGUCUUCACUCAUGUUUGAGGACAACAUCUAUGUAGGUUAUGUCCUCAAAGUGCCUCCAGUUUCCUAUUUUUUAUAUAAAAAGUAGAUAUUGAGAACUGUUGUGUAUAUAACAGUAAUGUAGCAAUAAAUGUGCCAUUUUUAAUAACA